rnacentral:sRNA from 1 species
CAUGAAGUCAUGAAGACCAGGAAGUGGUUUGUGCAUACAUAGGCUACAUUUCUCCACAGAAGACAUAUAGGUAAACCAUUGCUUUCAUGGUUUUAUUAUGUUGGAGAUAGUCGUGCUGUUGUAACGUUAUAUCAAGAUGAUUUAGAUCAAACGACUUAGUUCAAUAAUUAAAAAACCCAGCUUGAGUUUCAUCUAUUGGCGCCAUGGAAAUGGAAGCCUGUGUCAUUUUUUUGACUGCCCUUCUACUGAUAUGGCCUGAAGGAGGUCUCAUACAGGCGCGUAAGUCUAAUAUUUAUGGUAAAUUCACACGG